rnacentral:rRNA from 1 species
AACCUGAACCCUUUUCGAAUUCAAGUUGGUU